AAAUUGCUUCAGUUAUUGUGCUUUUUGUAUCAAGUCACUUCACCUCUGGGCCUUGCUGUUUUGCCUGCUGAUUUAUUCUUCUGUUUGUCAGCUUCCAGCUUGUUUCAGGAUUCCCAAGUUUGCCUGUCUAUUUCUCAACCUCUGGAUCUCCUUUUCGGCUUGCCUGCUGUAUUUAGGAUAGCUUCUCAAUCAUAUUGGAGUUUCCCUGUCAUUCUUCCACUUGACUGCCUGCAUUUCCUGUUUGCCUGCUACAGCUGCAAAGUGGACCCUCACAGUCUCUCUUGUGAACAGCUUACACUGGAUUUCUCCUCUAUCUUCAUAAAACCUGACAGCCAGAAAAUUUAACAAAUAGGCACAAAGGAAGCAAAGUAUGCAGUUGGUUCUUGUUACCACUAGAUGGCGGAUACACACUGCACCUUGGAAGAUGGGAGUGGUCUGUGAGUACUUUGGUACAUAAUUGUGGAUAUGCCUAUUGUAUGGUAACCUUGACAAUGGCCCAAGUGGAGGCCUAAACGUUGGAAUUAUGACAUAAUAAAAGUUUUGAAAAAGAA